CCUACGGGAGGCUGCAGUGGGGAAUAUUGGACAAUGGGCGAAAGCCUGAUCCAGCCAUGCCGCGUGUGUGAAGAAGGCCUUCGGGUUGUAAAGCACUUUCAGUGGGGAAGAAAGCCUUGGGGCUAAUACCCUCGAGGAAGGACAUCACCCACAGAAGAAGCACCGGCUAACUCCGUGCCAGCAGCCGCGGUAAUACGGAGGGUGCGAGCGUUAAUCGGAAUUACUGGGCGUAAAGCGCGCGUAGGCGGUCUGAUAAGCCGGUUGUGAAAGCCCCGGGCUCAACCUGGGAACGGCAUCCGGAACUGUCAGGCUAGAGUGCAGGAGAGGAGGGUAGAAUUCCCGGUGUAGCGGUGAAAUGCGUAGAGAUCGGGAGGAAUACCAGUGGCGAAGGCGGCCUUCUGGACUUACACUGACGCUGAGGUGCGAAAGCGUGGGUAGCGAACAGGAUUAGAUACCCUAGUAGUC
rnacentral:rRNA from 1 species